ensembl:lncRNA
CAGGACCCCGCAGACCUGCCAUGGGGAGGAUGGCCAGCCCUGAGGGGGCCGCACAGACUGGCCACUCUCCUUCCUGGCUUUUGGCCCAAGCAGCCCUGAGGAAGACAGCGCGGGACGACCCUGGCAGCCUCCAGGAACUGAGGAUGCAAGCCUGUGCUGCUGACACUAGCACUUCCGGUGGACACCCUCCUCCAGUGGCAGAGAGUGUAGAACACCUGGCCCCUGGGUAUCUGCACCCCACAGCCUGCCCCAGCCCUCAGGUCCCCUCCGGAGACCCAGGGUGACGUCAGCAGGAACUGGAAAUGAGUCAGAGGGGCCUUGGUUCAGAUUCCACCUCUGCCACUUACCGGCUCUGUGGUCCUGGGUAUAUGCAUGAGCACUCUGAGCCUCAGUUUUCUUAUCU